rnacentral:lncRNA from 1 species
CUGAGUGCGCCGCCGGUUCAGCCGGGCAGGGUCGCCUCGCGCCAGGAUGCUGCGCCCCGCCGCCCUGUCCAGCCAGCAACCCUGGCGCGACCCCGGGAAGAAGCACAGGUUCUUUCGUCCAGUCGCCGCUGGAGGACCGAAAGUUUUGCUCGCUGCAAGUCUCUUCCUCCCAGAGUCCCAGUCACCCACCAUGCGACGUCCCAGAAGGAUCCCGGAGGCUUAGUGGGAACGAAAUCGGCUGUUUUGCACCCCUCCAUCCUUAUCCCUCAGGGUAGAGCAGGGACUCUAGAGAGUACACCUCCCAGCUACCAUCCACUUCACCCUGUCUCCUCUCUCGGUGAGCCUUGGAAUCCGGUCUCUUCGCAGAUGCCUUCAGGAGUCAGAAGCAAAGGGGAAAUGGACAUAACUCCGAGAAACCGAGUGAACGUCCAGCCUCAGCAACAGCUUUGCCACCAUGAGCUUCAUUGAUCACAUCCUACCACAACUAGGAGACCUAAACCUUGCUCACUGACAGCAUUUGAAGAUGCAAAUACUGCUAUGGAUUGGAAGGUGCCUGAGGAAUGAAAGGGGACAUAGCCAUUAUGACCCACCUCGUGAGAUUUUAGGGAAGAAAGACCAUAGUGAUUGCAUCUAUUAAGAAGCCCUUACUGACCUGCAUGGUGAGGCUCGUGUGAAAUUUCAGCAUGCGGGAGAUUGAGACAGAAGGAUCACAAGUUCAAGGCCACCCUAGGCUAUGUAUCAAGAACUUUUUUUGAACAAAGAAAAAAGAAACGGCAGUACAUAAUUUCUCCUAAGGCUGGAGAUGAGGCUGUCAGCUGAGAGCUCCUGCUUGCCGAAGACCAUGGGCUGGAAUCCCUGUACUGCAUGGACCAGAUGUGGUGGCACAUGAAGGUCAAGGCUAUCCUCAACCACACAUGAGUUCAAGGUCAGCCUGGGAUACAUGCAAUCCUGUCUCAAAACAAAGAACAGUUCUUUCAAGAGGAAAUCUUAACAUUAAGGCUGUGCUGAUCCAAGACUCUUAUUCUCAGGCUCUGCCCAAUAUGAAAGAGAGUCUUCUGGCUGCCUUCAAAUCAAGAUGUAGAACCCUCGACUCUUCUGGGACCAUGUUUGCCUACACACUGCCAUAUUUCCUGCCAUGAUGAUAAUGGAUUGAACCUCUGAAACUGUAAGCCAGCCACAGUGAAAUGUUUUUUUUUAUAAGAGUUACAUUGGUCAGAGUGUUUCUUCCCAGCCACAAAACCCUAAGGCACGUAGGCCAAGAUAAUCACUUUUUAGAUUGUCACAGCAAACACAGUAUUCAAGUGAAUGAUAGAGUAUUGAACUAUAACAUCUUUACUCCCCAAUUAUGAGCAUUUAAGUUUGAAUUUUGAAAUGUGUUACUACAGAUUAAUACUGUCUCAAAAAGAAAAUAAAUAAAUUGAGUAACCA